rnacentral:snRNA from 1 species
GGAUGUGGGGGCAAUCUGGCUGUGACAUCUGUCACCCCAUUAAUCUCCAGGGUUGAAACGACUAAUCUGGCUGGCUAGGCGGGUGUCCCCUUCCUCCCUCAUCAUUCCAUGUACAUGCCUCCCCAAGCUGCACUCUGGGUUGAAGAAGACGACCAUUCUGACCAUCCACAAUAGAUGAGGAUGGGUCUUCAGUCAAAAGUAUAUGAGCGGCUGUGCUUCCCCACCAGAUCCUCCAAACAAGCUCUCUAGAAAUGUACAACGAAAAAUAAUAAAAAUAAAAAUUUACCUUU